UCGGGCGGUUAUUUUUGGGGGCGGCUUUGCCCGCGGCCUAUUUUUGGCACACGGAGGCCCCUCGCAAAGUCUCGCGUUAUUCCGAGUCCGGCGGACACAGUUGGCCAGCCCCACCCCCCAAGGCUAUAGCCCACCCGUUUUUGUGGUCUUUUUCCGCUCGACGAACUUGGCGCCCCGGAACUUGCUGCUACUACCAAUCUAUAAAAUGCACUACAAAAUUUUAUCACUAGAUAACAUAAAAUUUUGAACCACGAACCUUUUAAACAUCCCACGGCCUAUUUUUGGCACACCGAGGCCCCUCGCAAAGUCUCGCGGCAUUCCGAGUCCGGCGGACGAUGUUGGCCAGCCCCACCCCCCAAGGCUAUAGCCCACCCGUAUUUAUGGCCUUUUUCCGCUGGGAGAACUUGGCGCCCCGGCCGUCGGGCGGUUAUUUUUUGGCGCAGCUUUGCCCACAGCCUAUUUUUGGCACACGUAGGCCCCUCGCAAAGUCUCGCGGCAUUCCGAGUCCGGCGAACGAAGUUAGCCAGCCCCACCCCCCAAGGCUAUAGCCCACCCGUUUUUGUGGCCUUUUUCCGCUGGACGAACUUGGCGCCCCGGCCUUCGGGCGGUUAGUUUUGGGUACGGCUUUGCCCGCAGCCUAUUUUUGGCACACGGAGGGCCCUUGCAAUGUCUCGCGGCAUUCCGAGUCCGGCGGACGAAGUUGGCCAGCCCCACCCCCCAAGGCUAUAGCCCACCCGUUUUUGUGGCCUUUUUCCGCUGGACGAACUUGGCGCCCCGGCGUUCGGGCGGUUUUUUUUUGGUGCGGCUUUGCCCGUAGCCUAUUUUUGGCACACGGAGGCCCCUCGUAAAGUCUCGCACCAUUCCGAGUCCGGCGGACGAAGUUGGCCAGCACCACCCCCCAAGGCUAUAGCCCACCCGUUUUUGUGGCCUUUUUCCGCUGGACGAACUUGGCGCCCAGGCCUUCGGGCGGUUAUGUUUGGGCGCGGCUUUGCCAGUGGCCUAUUUUUGGCACACGGAGGCCCCUCGCAAUGUCUCGCGGCAAUCCGAGUCCGGCGGACGAAGUUGGCCAGCAUCACCCCCCAACGCUAUAGCCCACCCGUUUUUGUGGCCUUUUUCCGCUGGACGAACUUGGCGCCCCGGCCUUCGGGCGGUUAGUUUUGGGUGCGGCUUUGCCCGCAGCCUAUUUUUGGCACACGGAGGGGCCUUGCAAUGUCUCGCGGCAUUCCAAGUCCGGCGGACGAAGUC
rnacentral:lncRNA from 1 species